GAUGAGUCGACACGGAGACUACUCCCACUCUCUCGCAGAUUCGAGCUAGGAGUACCAGCUCAAGCCCGGCCAUACACCCACGGCCAGACACUACACAAACUCAGAUUGAGGCUGUCAAGACCCAAAUGGAAGCAGCCUUUCAAGCACGACAGGAGGCGGCAGAGGAGAGGUGGCGGGCCGAGCAGGACGAGAUGCAGCAAAAAUUGGAUCAAGCUCUAACAUUUAUGCAAAGCCUGGGCUCGGCGAUGGGUAUUUCGCCUCCACAAUUCCCUCUGGCCCCACUUGCUCCUCGGGCAGAAACUCCUCCUAUUAAUCAGUCGGCGGCAUCCAAUGAUGGGCCAGUAAAUCCAGACUUCUCGCCUCUGGUGCAACAGCCUUAGCAGCCUCAGCAAUUUGUGUGGCCACUGCCUCAAUGUGUGGCUUGGAUUCAGCAGCAGCAGCAGC